rnacentral:rRNA from 1 species
AUGAACGCUGGCGGCGUGCCUAAUACAUGCAAGUCGAGCGAACGGACGAGAAGCUUGCGUCUCUGAUGUUAGCGGCGGACGGGUGAGUAACACGUGGAUAACCUACCUAUAAGACUGGGAUAACUUCGGGAAACCGUAGCUAAUACCGGAUAAUAUUUUGAACCGCAUGGUUCAAAAGUGAAAGACGGUCUUGCUGUCACUUAUAGAUGGAUCCGCGCUGCAUUAGCUAGUUGGUAAGGUAACGGCUUACCAAGGCAACGAUGCAUAGCCGACCUGAGGGGGUGAUCGGCCACACUGGAACUGAGACACGGUCCAGACUCCUACGGGAGGCAGCAGUAGGGAAUCUUCCGCAAUGGGCGAAAGCCUGACGGAGCAACGCCGCGUGAGUGAUGAAGGUCUUCGGAUCGUAAAACUCUGUUAUUAGGGAAGAACAUAUGUGUAAGUAACUGUGCACAUCUUGACGGUACCUAAUCAGAAAGCCACGGCUAACUACGUG